UCCCCAAUGGCUCAGAAGGUAAAUGCAUCUGCCUGCAAUGCAGGAGACCCAGGUUCGAUUCCUGGGUCAGGAA
rnacentral:tRNA from 1 species